AUUGAACGCUGGCGGCAGGCUUAACACAUGCAAGUCGAGCGAGCGGCGGACGGGUGAGUAAUGUCUGGGAAACUGCCUGAUGGGGGGGGAUAACUACUGGAAACGGUGGCUAAUACCGCAUACCAUCAGAUGUGCCCAGAUGGGAUUCGCUAGUAGGUGGGGGAAUGGCUCACCUAGGCGCCGAUCCCUAGCUGGUCUGAGAGGAUGACCAGCCAGUCUUGAACUGAGACACGGUCCAGACUCCUACGUGAGGCAGCAGUGGGGAAUAUUGCGCAAUGGGCGAAAGCCUGAUGCAGCCAGGCCGCGUGUGUGAAGAAGGCCUUCGGGUUGUAAAGCACUUUCAGCGAGGAGGCGUUACUCGCAGAAGAAGCACCGGCUAACUCCGUGCCAGCCGCCGCGGUAAUAC
rnacentral:rRNA from 1 species